ensembl:lncRNA
UCCCCCAUAAAAUAUGUAUAAUAAUUCCUGUGAAUGUUAAAAACAUAUUUCUGAGGGUUCAACUUCAAUCCUUUUAACCCCAGAAGUGAAACUUCUUUCCCCUUACUUAGUUUUGUGGGGGUUUUUUCUUGUUUUUGUUUUUUUUUUCUUUUUUUCUGGGAGGUUUUAUCUUUUCUUUAAUGUUUUGGUUGGUUUUUUUCAGGAGGCUUCUUUCUCACUUUUUUUCAACACUUCAUUUCCUGCCUCUGCGGUCCAAGUUUCUGGUAAUACGCAGGGUCAUUAGUGCAGAAAUCCCAGGCAUACCUAGAUAGGGAGGUAGAGAGGAAGCUAGGAAGAUAUUUGGAAGAUCUGGAUUGACUAAGAGAGAAGGGACUGAAAUUAUCUGAAUAGGUGAUAGAUUUUAGUCUGGUUAAUGAAUAUUUAGCAUCAAGUCAGUAUCCCAAAUCUGAUGUGAUAACCCACAUUUCCACAUGAAAGCUUCAAAGCAGCCAACACCAGCGUGGUGAUCUCACAUGCAUCAAUUCCGUGACAAUUUAUAGCUUCCAAAUUGUUUUCCAUUGCCCUCGGUUGAAUACUUGGAUGAAAUAACGAAAUGGAUGUCAUCCAUGUGUCUCUGUGGAUGAAGAGCUCGUGUGAAGUACUAUUGUAUUCAGUAUUUGCAGGGUGUGAGUGUUGUGACUGUGGCUUUAACAAGGAGCGUCUCACUGCAUUUGACUGCAAGCGUAAUUAGCUGUUGGUGUUGAGCGUGCGAAGAAUUUUGAUUGAAUGGGCUGUGUUUUAGGCAUGGUGGACAUGGACGAAAUAUAUCACUGAGUUCAUGCAUCCUGUCUAGCUAUUUUUAUAUGUACUUAAUAUUCCAGCAAUACUAAUGUCCAUUGGACAUAAACCUGUGAAUAAGUAAGAAAGCAAUUCCUUGAUGAAGAUGCGAUUGAAAGGAGGCAAAAGAAUACCAGACCGGAAAAGCAUUUCCUAAAGUGUGUUCAGGAGCAUUAAUUCUUGGAGAAAUUAGUAGAAUCGGGGGCAAAAAGUGAGUGACCAGUGAAAUAAGUUUGGGAAACACAGAGACAAGCCGUCUGAUAGGACUCAUCAGAACUUUUAAUAUGCUCUGAAUAUUUGAAUCUCAAAGAGGGAGAACUAGAUGCAUGGCCUCUCCAGCUUGUUUAGUGGGUCUAACCUUCUAACUUGUCCCGAAAGAAUAUUGUGAAACACAACAUUCGGUGAUGCUUGCUUGGUAAAUGCAGGCUGAAAUAGUCUGCUGUAGUAAUAGGUAAAUGGUUUUUUGUUUGUUUGUUUUCUUUUUUGGCCACGUUGCGGCACAUGGAGCUCCUGAGCCAGGGAUCAGAUCCGAGCUCUAGCUGCAACCUAAGCCACAGCUGCGGCAAUGCUGGAUCCUUAACCCACUGUGCCGGGCUGGGGAUCGAAUGUGUGUCCUAGCGCCCCCAAGAUGCAGCCGAUCCUGUUGCACUACAGAGGAACUCCAAAUAAAGGUUAUUUAUUUAUAAAUAAAAUUAAACACCAACUGAACAACUGAACAUCCAAAUGCAAAAAAAAAAUUUAAUCCAGACCCAGAUUGCUCUUCAGAAAAAUUAACUCAAAAUGGAUCACAAAUGUGAACGUAAAAUGCAAACCUAUAAAACUCCUGGAAGGCAACAGAGGAGAGAAUCCAGAUGAUCCUGGGCUUGGCAAUGACUUGUGAGGUCAAACACCAAAGAUAUGAUCCAUGAAAGAAAGAGGUGAUGAGCUGGAUUUCACUAAAAUAAAAACUUUCUGCUCUGCGAAAAAUGAUGUCAAGUGAAUGAAAAGACAAGCCACAGACUGGGAGGCAAUAUUGGCAAAAGACCCAUCUGACAGAGGGCUGUUAUCCAAAGUACGAAAAGAAAGCUUAAAACCCAAUAAUAAGAUUUCAAUUAAAACAAGGCCAAAGACCUCAACAGAUAUCUCACCAAAGAAGAUAUACAGAUAGCAAAUAAGCACAUGAAAAGAGGCCCCGGAGAAUACAAAUUAAAACAGCAAUGAAAUAUCACUACAUACUUAUUAGAAUGGCUUAAACCCAGAACACAAAACACCAAAUUCUGGCGAGUUUGUGGAGCAAAAAGAACUCUCAUUCAUUGCUGGUAAGAAUUCCAAAUGGCACAAGGAGUGUGUGUGUGUGUGUGUGAGUGUGUGUGUGUGUGUGUAUGACUAGGUCACUGCUCUACAGGAGAAAAUUGAUGGAACACUAUAAACCAACUAUAACAGAAAAUAAUAGGAGUUCCCGUCGUGGUGCAGUGGUUAACGAAUCCGACUAGGAACCAUGAGGUUGCGGGUUCAGUCCCUGGCCUUGCUCAGUGGGUUAACGAUCCGGCAUUGCCGUGAGCUGUGGUGUAGGUUGCAGAUGUAGCUCGUAUCCCGCGUUGCUGUGGCUCUGGCAUAAACUGGUGCCUACAGCUCCGAUUAGCCCCCUAGCCUGGGAAUCUCCAUAUGCCACGGGAGCGGCCCAAGAAAUAGCAAAAAGACAAAAAAAAAAAAAAUCGUUUUUUAAAAAAAGAAUCUAUCAAAAAAAUGGCACAGCCCCUUCAGAAGUUUGCUGUUUUCUUACAAAACUAAACAUAUUCUUAUCAUGCAAUCCAGCCAUUGCUCUUCUUGAUCUUUACCCAAAGGAGUUGAAAACAUGCCCACAGCAAAACACUACACAUGGAUGUUUAUAAUAGUUUUAUUCAUAAUUGCCAAAUCAUAGAAGCAACUGAGAUGUCCUUUAGUGGGCGAAUAGGUAAAUAAACUAAGGCACAUUCAGAUGAUGGAAUAUUAUCCAGCACUAGAAAGAAAUGAGCUAUCAAGCCAUGUCCAGACAUGGAAAAAGAAUGCCUGUUACCAAGUGAAAGAAGCCAGUUUGAAAAGACUACACACUAUGUAUAUAUUCAGAUUUCAACCAUCUGACCCUGGAAAAGGCAAAACUGACAGUAAAAAAGUGGAUGGUUACCAGGGGCUGGAGGGAGGAAGUGAUAAUAGGCAUAGUACAAGAGGAAUUUUAGGGCAGUGAAACUACCCUCUAUGAUGCUAUAAUGGGAUGCAUGGCAUUAUGCAUUUGUCAAGAUUCAUAGAAUGUACAACACCAAGAGUGAACCAUACUGUAAACUAUGGACUUUGAACGCUAAUGAUGUGUCAAUGUAUGUUGAUUAAUUGCAACACCUAUACCAUGCUGGCAGGGAAUGUUGAUAGUGGGAGAGGCAAGGCAUGUAUGAGGAUGGGAGUUUAUGGGAACAGCCUGUACAUUCACUCAAUUUUGCUGCAAAUCUAAAACUGUACUAAAAAACAAAGUUAAAAACCAAAAAAAAAAAAAUACAUGGAGUAAAAUUUUAGAAAUAAUUUAAUCUAGUGUGUUGUUUGGAUUGGGGUUUUUUUAGCUUUGUCAGUUUUUUUACCUCUCAUUUAUUCAGUGCCUGCUAUGGUCCAGACAUUGAGUUAAGUCCUGUUACAUAUAUUUUAGGUGGCAGUAGCCCUAUGAAGUAGGUUUUAUUUUCCCCAUUUAAUGGAUAAGGAACUGAAAUUUAGACAGAGGUAGUGACCUUCCCAAGGUUACAGAUCUAGUAAGUGGUGAAGGUAGAGUUCAAACUUGGGCCAGAACUGGCCCUGUUAACCACCAUGUAGAACAACUAGGAUAAUAACAUGCAGAAGGUUGUACGUAUCUGUGUUCGUGACAGAAAGAUGCACCAGUUUUCAUCUGAUUCCUAAAGGACCCAGCAAUCCAAAAAAAUGUCAAGAAUCACUGAAUCCAGCUCACAAGACCCAGAGCAAUAAUGUCAUUUUUCUCAAAGAUAUACCACGAGUUGGUAAAAAAAAAAUAGGAAGUAGAACUAUGCUCUCUUGACUUCCCUUUGAUGCUAAGGGAAUAUAAGAUGCUAUAUCAUCAUUGAUGGCUUUUAAAUUAGUUGAUUUCAGAAAACGGAGGAAGAUAAUACUGCUGUUAAAAAAUUAGAGCCCUUUGUUAGUAGAUUAUGGGCAUUUGCCAUUAAGCUCAUUGCUUCAUGAUGAAACACUGAGAAUGUCUCAUAUCCAAGAGCCAGACUAUUAAUACAAGGAUAUUUAAAAUAUUUAAAGUUAGCUAAGUGUCAAGGUGAGUAAGACAAUAUAAUGUCCAGGAGAAAAUGUCAAACUAUGGCAUCUGAAUAAUAAAUGAUUCCAACUAAAGUCGAAGUUAGACUUCUAUUUUUGAAGAUCAUAGCAUAAGCCAGGCUAUAUAUACAAGGGUAAUAGUCAUCUCUGUAGUUUAAUUUGAGACAUACCAUCUUGAUUCACUGUCCAAAUCUCUAGUCUUUCACGUGUAUUAAAUUAGAUUAAGGUGAUAUGUUUCAGAGCCAUUUGUUUAAAUGAAAUUCACUGGAAUAGAAAUACAUAGAUUAGGUUCUCAAAUAUUAAACCCAUUCUAAGCCUGGACUUGGCCUGUCUCUUUUCAUUGAUGUCAGGAUAUAAAAAAGAUAAAUUUUGAUGGGAGGAGACUCAUGGAAAUGGUCAGAAAAUGGAAAAAAAAAAAAAAGAAAGAACUGCCUGCAGCAGGCACUUUGUGACUAAAAGCAGCAAAAAUGAGCAACAGUGUAUAGGGGAUGUGGGGGAUGUGGGAAGUGAGGUCACCCAGAGGAAAAUAACCCUAGAAAGAGAUGUUGAGCAGUGCUAAAGACAGUCGGUAUUUUACCUUUCAAUUAUAUCAUCAGAUAUUAUCCAGGAUUGCCUCUUAACCAUUAGAGCAACAUAUAUUGAUAGGUUUUUCAGCCUUUCUAAGUGUCCCACACCAAAAAAAAAAAGAAAAAAGAAAAGAAAAAAAAGGCUGGGAAAAAGCAGGUCUGGAGGAAUAUGUCUCUGGCACUGUCCUUGACCAGCUCUCAUCAGGUAUAACAGCUUCUGCGUAAGUAAGAGAAGUGGGGGAGGACUAGGAAAUAAAACAAGUUGUUCCAGUGUGAGCUCCUGAAAUAGAUAGAAGACUUGCAAUUUCACACCAAGAUCCACAGCCUGGCCUUGUUUUCUGGUUGCAAAUCUAAAAUAGCAGUAAUCCAUCUGUCAGCCUGACAUCUUUUUAUGCUCCCUUUCAAUCACUCCCAGAAAAAAAAAAAAAAA